rnacentral:rRNA from 1 species
CGGUAUGCUUAACACAUGCAAGUCGAACGAUCCUUUGGAUAGUGGCGGACGGGUGAGUAACCCGUGAGUUAUCAACGCUUAGGUGAGGUAUAUCAAAUGGAAACGUUUGUUAAUUCCUCAUAAUGCUAUUAAAGUUAAAGGUUUUUCCGCCUAAGCACGAGCUUGCGUCUGAUUAGCUAGUUGGUAGGGUAAUAGCUUACCAAGGCUUUGAUCAGUAGCUGGUCUGAGAAGAUGAACAGCCACACUGGAAUUUAGAACGGAACAGACUCCUACGGGAGGCAGCAGUGGGGAAUAUUUGGCAAUGAGCGAAAGCUUGACCAAGCAAUACCGCGUGGAGGAUGAAUGCUUUAGGGUUGUAAACUCCUUUUCUGAUUGAGGAAAUUCUGACAGUAUUUCAGGAAUAAGCAUCGGCUAACUUCGUGCCAGCAGCCGCGGUAAUACGGGGGAUGCAAGCGUUAUCCGGAUUUAUUGGGCGUAAAGCGUUCGUAGAUGGUUAUUUAAGUUUAAUGUUAAAUUCCAAGGCUUAACCUUGACAAUGCAUUAAAAACUAAAUGACUUUAGUACAAUAGAGGUAAAGGGAAUUUCCAGUGUAGCGGUGAAAUGCGUAGAUAUUGGAAAGAACACCUAUGGCGAAAGCACUUUACUGGGUUGUUACUGAAAUUGAGGAACGAAAGCUAGGGGAGCAAACGGGAUUAGAUACCCCGGUAGUCCUAGCCGUAAACGAUGAAUACUAAGUGAUAUUUUUGUAUUGCUGUAGCUAACGCGUUAAGUAUUCCGCCUGGGGAGUACGCUUGCAAAAGUGAAACUCAAAGGAAUUGACGGGGGCCCGCACAAGCAGUGGAGCAUGUGGUUUAAUUCGAUGAUACACGAAAACCUUACCAGGACUUGACAGGUUGGUUAUUCUUCUGAAAGGAAGAUUCCUAUUUUAGGUCCAAUAACAGGUGGUGCAUGGCUGUCGUCAGCUCGUGUCGUGAGAUGUUGGGUUAAGUCCCGCAACGAGCGCAACCCUUUUUUCUAGUUACUUUUCUAGAGAUACUGCCAGUGAUAAAUUGGAGGAAGGUGAGGAUGAGGUCAAGUCAGCAUGCCCCUUAUGUCCUGGGCUACACACGUGCUACAAUGGCUAAUACAACGAGUUGCAAAUUCGUGAGGAUAAGCUAAUCUCUUAAAAUUAGUCCUAGUUCGGAUUGUAGCCUGAAACUCGGCUACAUGAAGCUGGAAUCGCUAGUAAUCGUCGGUCAGAUAUACGACGGUGAAUACGUUCUCGGGCCUUGUACACACCGCCCGUCACACCAUGGAAGUUGGUCAUAUCUUAAGUGGUUUUCUCUAAUGUUGAAAAUUACUAAGGUUGGGUUAGUAACUGGGGUGAAGUCGUAACAAGGUA